UACGUAGGGUGCGAGCGUUAAUCGGAAUUACUGGGCGUAAAGCGUGCGCAGGCGGUUUGUUAAGACAGAUGUGAAAUCCCCGGGCCUAACCUGGGAACUGCAUUUGUGACUGGCAAGCUAGAGUAUGGCAGAGGGGGGUAGAAUUCCACGUGUAGCAGUGAAAUGCGUAGAGAUGUGGAGGAAUACCGAUGGCGAAGGCAGCCCCCUGGGCCAAUACUGACGCUCAUGCACGAAAGCGUGGGGAGCAAACAGG
rnacentral:rRNA from 1 species